AGUCCAAAUACAGUAUUCCAUGUAAGGUACAUUAUCUACAUAGUUGUUUUUGUUAUUGGUACACCUCGUCUCUCCCCCAAAGACAUGCCGAUGCCAUAAUUUUAGAGGAAACUCAAAUUCAGAGUUUUCUAUUAACAAUGGAAGAUUGCAUGUUUCUUAAAGUUUGGAUCAAAAUUACAGUUGAUUCCUUCUGUAGAUAAUCACCAAAUGGUUACCCCUCUGCCUAGUGAGGGGUUGCACCUGUGCCAAUGAAGAUUCAAAAAGCAAAUGUGAUUCCUGGAGAUAGAAUCAAAUUACAGCGAUAACAACAACAAUAAUAGUUUGUAUUAUUGUCUUUAUUCUUAUAACAAUUUACAAGAAUAAAGACAAUAAUAACAAUUAUAGUCUUUUCAAGACUAUGAAAGAAUUCAUUGUAAAAAGACGCAGAAAAAAGGGAAACAGAUAUUUGUGGGUCAAUAAUGGAGCUUAAAACAAUGUGUUCCAUAUAUCUUUAGUCCAGAUAUGAGAUGUGUACUAGUCAUAUAUCAGCCCAGUUUGUCAAAUGGUGAGAUUCAGUUUCUAGAAAAGCAGCCUCUGACAGAUAUAAGUGAUAACGAGGAGCCAAAUUACUGAUGAUUCUAGAAGUUUGGUCUGUUUUUUUUUUUUUUCUCCCAAUAUCAUGCUCCCAGAAAGAAGACUUGGACUCAAAAUAUAUUUACAAAUACCUUAGCCAUAUAGAUGGGCUCUUCUCUGCCUAGAUCAUAAAUUCACCGUUUAUUCUAAUCUAUAUUUUGUCAUAUGACUGGUUAUCUAUGCUCUGGUAUCAUGUGUUUGUCUUGUCAUAUCUCCUUGGGUGAAUCUCCUGUCUUACUCUAUCCCAGAAUACUUUUUAAUUGGAUAUUUUAUUUAUUUACAUUUAAAAUGUUAUCCCCUUUUCCAGUUUCCCCUCCACAAACCCCCUAUCCCAACCAACCUCCCUCUGUUUCUAUGAGGGUGCUCUCCCACCCACCCACCUACUUCCCCCUUACUGCCCUGGCAUUCCCCUACACUAGGGAAUUGAGCCUUCACAGGACCAAAGGCCUCUCCUCUCAUUGAUGCCAUAUAAAGCUAUCUUCUGUUACUAUGCAGCUGGAGCCAUGGGUCCCUCCAUGUGUACUCUUUGUUUGGUGGUUUAGUCCCUGGGAGCUCUGGGGUGUGGGUGGGUGGUUGAUAUUGUUGUUCUUUCUGUGGGGUUGCAAACCCCUUUAGCUCCUUCAUCCUUUCUCUAACUCCUCCAUUGGGGUCCCUGUGCUCAGUACAACAGUUGACUGUGAGCAUCCAUAUCUGUAUUUGUCAGGCUCUGGCAGAGCCUCUCAGGAGACAGCUAUAUCAGACUCCUGUCAGCAAGCACUUCUUGGCAUCCACAACAGUGUCUGGGUUUGGUAUCUGUCCUCCCUGUUUUUCAACCCUUUCCUAUAUACACCAUAGUCUUUUUAAUUGUCAGAUUAUGCAUCCAUACAAUACAUGAGAUAUUCUCUCUAUAGAUGAUUGGAGAAAAUGUUAGAAAGAAAGGCAGAUAUAGCGUAGGAAAGAAAAGAGAAAAGACAGAGGAGUGAGACCUUACCAAGGAGGCUCUUUAGUUCCAUAUGUCUUUAACCAUCUCGUUUUGAAGAUACUUUCCCUUUAAGUGUCCUUAUCCAAACAAUGUACAUUGUUACUCUACACAUUCAUUUCAGAGGACCAUUGACACUUUGGGGGACACAUUCAUUGCUUUUUUUUUUUAGAGGGUCUUGUAUGGAAUGAUAAAAGCCAGGCUAUUUUUCCUUCUCUGCCCACCUGCCCCUAUCAUCUCAGAUAAUAGGAAUUCAUUAACAUCCUGCAGACUUUUACUUUAAAAGCAUGCUCUUCAAACCUUGAGAGACUCAUACACUUAGUGAGUAUUUUGUUGUUGUUGUUUUGUUUUGUUUUCAUAGUUUGCUGUGGUUUGAUUCUUUUACUUUUAUUGUUGAAAAUGGCAAGGCUGCUUCUAGAUUCUCAAUAGAAGUAAGACUGCUUCACUGACUACAGAAUCUUCACUGAAGAGAGGGGUGGGAUGCAGACAUUAUAAGGAAUGACAUUCAUUUUUCUUUUUGGUUGAUGUACAGCAUCUGCUGCAAUUUUCAAAAGCAGCUGACUAACAUAACAAUACAGCAAUUUCAACAGAAAUCAUUGUGGGCUUUUUACGAACACACCCAACUGUUGACAUACAUUCUGAGUCAAUGCAGUGACUGUACAGCCAGGAAAAUAUUGGUGUUAUUCACAGUAUAACGCUGUAUGGUGCCUGUCUACCUUAGAAUGUUGUCUAUACCAUUCAUUUAUCAAGCUACAAGCACACCCUUAUUUGGAGGCAUUGCACUAUAUUUUCCUAGAUGGAGAAAGGAGCUUCUGGCUUCCCUUGAAGAGUUCAUGCCACUAAUUAUUAUGAGAAGCAGAAGAUAAAUAGACGUUUAUAUAUGAACAAACUGAGGAUAUCUUCUUAGAAAUCAAAUUUAGUG
rnacentral:lncRNA from 1 species